rnacentral:rRNA from 1 species
CCGAACACGGAAGUUAAGCCCUCCAGCGCCGAUGGUACUUGGGGCGAGAGCCCCCGGGAGAGUAGGACGUUGCCAGGC